rnacentral:rRNA from 1 species
UUCUGUAAGCCUGUGAAGGUGAGUUGAGAAGCUUGCUGGAGGUAUCAGAAGUGCGAAUGCUGACAUGAGUAACGACAAUGGGUGUGAAAAACACCCACGCCGAAAGACCAAGGGUUCCUGCGCAACGUUAAUCGACGCAGGGUUAGUCGGUUCCUAAGGCGAGGCUGAAAAGCGUAGUCGAUGGGAAACAGGUUAAUAUUCCUGUACUUCUGGUUACUGCGAUGGAGGGACGGAGAAGGCUAGGCCAGCUUGGCGUUGGUUGUCCAAGUUUAAGGUGGUAGGCUGAAAUCUUAGGUAAAUCCGGGGUUUCAAGGCCGAGAGCUGAUGACGAGUCGUCUUUUAGAUGACGAAGUGGUUGAUGCCAUGCUUCCAAGAAAAGCUUCUAAGCUUCAGGUAACCAGGAACCGUACCCCAAACCGACACAGGUGGUCGGGUAGAGAAUACCAAGGCGCUUGAGAGAACUCGGGUGAAGGAACUAGGCAAAAUGGCACCGUAACUUCGGGAGAAGGUGCGCCGG